rnacentral:rRNA from 1 species
AAGGGCACCACAAGAACGCGUGGAGCUUUUGGCUUAAUUUGACUCAACGCGGGAAAUCUUACCGGGUCCGGACACACUGAGGAUUGACAGGCAAUAUUAAUAAUUUAUUUUUUCUGUGUGUUUUAACGCACAUCAGUAAUAUAUUUUAUUAUGUUAAAUAUGCUAGUCCUUUCAUGAUUAUGUGAUAGGUGGUGCAUGGCCGUUCUUAGUUCGUGGAGUGAUCUGUCUGCUUAAUUGCGUUUCACUAAGGGCCUAGAAAUCUACGUAUGUUGCGACACUUUGACCCCUCCUUGUGUGCGUGCGUCUUUGUUUGUUUAGCUCAUACAAAUAGGUCCUGAAAGCAACGAACGUGACCGCAACCUCUUGUUGCUUUCGUAUAUAUAUGAUACAUGUAUUUUAUUAUACUAGUAUAAUAUAUUAUACAUACUGCAUACAUAAUAUUAUGUGUCAUUGUCACUAACUAAAAAUAUAAGACUUGUCUUUUUUUUUUAUGUUGUGUAGUGUCUUUACAUAUUUUGUAUAUCUUUAUGCACAGAAAGCCUUUUAAACUAGAGGGACCGCUGUUACUUUCUUAAACCAGAGGAAGGUUGCGGCAAUAACAGGUCUGUGAUGCCCUUAGAUGUUCCGGGCUGCACACGUGCUACAAUGAUUAUUGCAGUGAGCAUCUCAUUUUAUUAUUCACACCGCAUGCGCGAGACCAUUUAUUCUCUCUUCGCGAGUGUUUUAAAUGUGUAUCUCUGCGCGCGGUAAAGCCUACUUCGAAAGUAAGCGGGUAAUCAAUUAGAAGUAAUGAUUUCCUAUAUUUUAUUGUAUCAUUUUUUUGGUAUAGUAAUUCUGCACACAUAUAUACGGCAUCUUUACCCGGGUAGCCUUGUUGUUACUUUUUGUGCGUAUCGAUGUUUUUUUCCGUAUGUGCGAUUGUCAAUUCAUGGUGGGGACAGACCAUUGUUAAUUGUUGGUCUCGGUCUUAACUAGGAAUGCCUUGUACGGGUCUUUGGUUCAACAAACCACCCGGAAUACGUCCCUGCCCUUUGUACACACCGCCCGUCGCUCUUACCGAUGGACUUCUCUGUGAGUUUGAGGGACUGGGAACGCAUGUAAUAAAUUUUAUUUAUUUAUGCACACCUAUGGAAAC